AUCUAUUAAAUCUAUGCAAAGUAAGAGCUUUAAACAUUAUAAAGUGGUCAUAUCGUUUCCUAUUUGAUACAUGCAAAAGAAGGGAAAUAUAUGGCUAAAUUUAUGACGUUUGUUUAUGUUAUGAUCUACUUUUUGUCUCUAUUUCUUGUUACAAAGGGGGCGUACUUUGAAUGUCAUAGUGAUUCUGCUUGUGAAACAACAGUUAAGUGUGUGCUUCCUAGGAUUCCUCGGUGUAUUAAAUACAAAUGUCUAUGUGGUAAUGGUGUUGGUAAACGUUGGAGUACAACACCAAAGAGAAUAGAAAAAGGCUCUACAGUGAGGAAUGGCUUCUUGCAUUAGGAAAAGAUAUAAUAAAUAUCAUAUAUGAUAAAGUAUUCUAUGAUAUGUAAUUUAAUUAUUGUGCUGCCA